rnacentral:tRNA from 1 species
GUUGGGAUAGCUCAGUUGGUAGAGCAGAAGACUGAAAAUC